rnacentral:lncRNA from 1 species
UCCACUUUAACAUUUAUGUAUGUAAAAAUUUCGAAAUAGAAUUGUUUAAAAUAAGUUACUACACAAUGCUAAACGUAGCAUUUUCACAAUAUUAAAUUGAGAGUGGAAAUGGGGAAAAUGUCAAAGAGGGUGGUCCUUGGAUGGCCCUAAAUAAAAUGUGUACUAGCUCAGUGAAAAUGGACGUCACACUUAACUCCAAAACAUAUAAAUGAACUAAAAUUAAAACAAAACAAACAAGACUAACAAAGGCCAGAGGCUCAUGACUUGAGACAGGCGCAAACAUGCGGCGGGGGUUAACAUGUUUUGUGAGAUCUCAACCCUCCCCCUAUACCUCUAGACAAUGUAGAAUAAAGAAACACACAGCAAUACGUACAGUAAAACUCAGUUUAAUAGAAGUCCAAGUCCGAUGUCAGAACAGUCAACAAAACGAACUAAGCAAAAUAAUAAUUAUACAUAAAUUAACAAAGGACUACUAGCAGUUACUGACAUGCCAGCUCCACCCCCCCCCCCCCCCCCAAUUUAACUGAUUGAAAGAUUAAUGCAUAUUUGUCAGU